GUGCACGAAGGAAUCUACAGACAGCAGCCAAACUUCAGGUAUGGCAAAGGAAGAACAGUCACAGCUAAAAACUUGUGUGGACGUUGUUUACUUCAUUAAUGUGUUUCUGUGUUAAUGGACUGAGGAUGGGAGUAGGAUUCGGGAUUUGGUUUCGGCAGAAUCUUUACCAGUGGAUUUGGUAUUUGGCCAAACCCCAAAAAUCUGGAUUCGGCGCAUCCCUACUAAAAAAA